rnacentral:rRNA from 1 species
AUUGAACGCUGGCGGCAUGCCUUACACAUGCAAGUCGAACGGAUCAGAAGGGCUUGCUCUUCUGGUUAGUGGCGAACGGGUGAGUAAUGCAUCGGAACGUACCCAGUCGUGGGGGAUAACGUAGCGAAAGUUACGCUAAUACCGCAUACGAUAUGAGGAUGAAAGCGGGGGACCUUCGGGCCUCGCGCGAUUGGAGCGGCCGAUGUCGGAUUAGCUAGUUGGUGAGGUAAAGGCUCACCAAGGCGACGAUCCGUAGCUGGUCUGAGAGGACGACCAGCCACACUGGGACUGAGACACGGCCCAGACUCCUACGGGAGGCAGCAGUGGGGAAUUUUGGACAAUGGGCGAAAGCCUGAUCCAGCCAUGCCGCGUGAGUGAAGAAGGCCUUCGGGUUGUAAAGCUCUUUCAGACGGAAAGAAAUCUUCUGGGUGAAUAUCCCGGGAGGAUGACGGUACCGUAAGAAGAAGCACCGGCUAACUACGUGCCAGCAGCCGCGGUAA